rnacentral:rRNA from 1 species
UACGGAGGGUGCGAGCGUUGUCCGGAAUUAUUGGGCGUAAAGAGCGCGCAGGCGGUAUGACAAGUCAGAUGUGAAAGAGGCCGGCUUAACCGGCAAGGGUCAUUUGAAACUGUCAGACUAGAGUGCAGCAGAGGAUAGUGGAAUUCCCGGUGUAGUGGUGAAAUGCGUAGAUAUCGGGAGGAACACCAGUGGCGAAGGCGACUAUCUGGGCUGCAACUGACGCUGAGGCGCGAAGGCUAGGGUAGCAAACAGG